UACAGAGGUCCCGAGCGUUGUUCGGAUUCACUGGGCGUAAAGGGUGCGUAGGUGGCAUGGUAAGUUUGAUGUGAAAGCUCAGGGCUCAACCCUGAAAUGGCAUUGAAUACUACUGUGCUGGAGGUUUGGAGGGGGGACUGGAAUUCUUGGUGUAGCAGUGAAAUGCGUAGAUAUCAGGAGGAAUACCGGUGGCGAAAGCGACUCUCUGGACGGCAACUGACGCUGAGGCACGAAAGCGUGGGGAGCAAACAGG
rnacentral:rRNA from 1 species